rnacentral:sRNA from 1 species
GAGCUCUGCAGAAUUCUCCGUCAUGACAAUGCAGAGACAAAGAGAAACAAACAUCAACGCCAGAAGUACAAUUUGUUAUCUCCCCCCGAUACACAAAUGUACAAAUAUGUACACCGUCUGUGAAGG